GCCAGGCGUGAUGUCACAUGCCUGUAAUCCCCGCUGCUCGGGAGGCUGAGGCAGGCGGAUGGCAAGUUUAAAGCCAGCCUCAG
rnacentral:sRNA from 1 species